GGACUUCACAAAGAAGACGGCGGACACAUCCAAGGUCAGCAUUGAGACUAGAGAUGCAUCCACCGAGACCAGAGGACGCCGGCCUUAUCCUUGGAGUGGGCCCGUGGUUGUGAUCGACAAUGGACUCAGAGAUUCCUCUGUCCAGACCACCGGGGAAUUCACCAAGAAGACAGACACAUCCAAGGUCAGCAUUGAGACCAGAGAUGCAUCCACCGAGACCAGAGGACGCCGGCCUUAUCCUUGGAGUGGGCCCGUGUUUGUGAUCGACAAUGGACUCAGAGAUUCCACUGUCCAGACCACUGGGGACUUCACCAAGAAGACAGACACAUCCAAGGUCAGCAUUGAGACUAGAGAUGCAUCCACCGAGACCAGAGGACGCCGGCCUUAUCCUUGGAGUGGGCCCGUGGUUGUGAUCGACAAUGGACUCAGAGAUUCCUCUGUCCAGACCACCGGGGAAUUCACCAAGAA